ACAGGGACAAUGGUCAGAACGGUCAUGUAGUAUGCGGAAAGUGUAUGUUCCUUUUUUUUGCUUUGCCCAAAUACGAGAGAAAAGAUGGGCGAGCGCCGUUCAUCUUGAUCAAUGUUAAGAUAUGUGGAAAAGUGGCAUCAUGUUAUAACUUAUGGUGGCAUGAUUCAUCAGUCUGGCACAACUCUCUCAAUUGGCUGAUUCAGCUCAACCACACACAUUAUGGACAACCGAGUGAAUGUAGUGCUACCUACGGAUGUAGACACACAAACCGACCGACCGAUCGACCAAGCGCAACUAGGCACGCACACAAGCGUUCCAUGAUCUCGGGUGACCGACUAUUGAAACUCACCCAAGUGCAGUAGUUGGCCAAGUCCUUCGUUGUCCGUCUAUCCAUCCAUACAUUUAUCUAUCCAUCCAUCCAUCCAUCUAUCCAUCUACCUACCUACCUACCUACCUACCUACCUACCUACCUACCUACCUAUCUAUCUAUCUAUCUUUCCAACCUUAGACUAUGAACGUAAGAGCUAGCUAACUUGCUUGCUUGCUUAUGGCUGGCUGGUUACCUCUCAUUCUCUCUCAUCGCUGUCCGGUAGAACUCAUGCGAAGGCCGAAGAAUGAGGAGAAAGGCUGGUAGCACGAAAUUUGAUCUCAUUUUGACAUCUUCUGAUCCUGGGCUCAGCAUCACGGACUACUGCUAUGGCUAGAAUUUCUUCGCUGCCAGCCUCCCAGUCAACCCUCUCUGAGGAUAGUAAAUUACAACAUCUAUCACAUGUCCUCGGAAUUUUAAUCAAUCAAUGAGAUUGAUUUUUUUCCUGUCCUCUCAGAUGAAACGAGUUCAUCCUAGGAGAGCACAAGUCACUUCUUCCGUUCUUUUUCAUACCCCAACGUCAUGCAGUACAUUUGCCAGUAUCUUCAAGUCGUGUCAGAUUUGGCUUUCGGCGCACAUACGGAAAAGCAACGCAAGUAGAUUCGUACCUCCUUGACGUUGGGCAAAAAGUUAUUUUUCAUCGAAAAGCCAAAUCUUCGACAACUUUGGAGCUACUCAAUGCUACAUCCUUGCUUCCUCGCUAAUACCGAGAUUUGACCAACACCCAGCCGACAAAGCAAGUGAGCACAUUGCUGCCGUCUCAAUCUUAAUAUCAAUACAACAGAAUGAUGACAUGCUUUUUCCUCUUCUCUCGAUGCUUGUUGUCUCUUCCUUUUCAAUCGUGGAUGCAUAAUUUCAAAAUGUUCAGAGGAGGAAUCAAACUUGCGACCCUUGCUUAGAAGGCGAGCACGCUACCCACUGCAUCAAUUCUCGGGUAGCAUGCCCGUUUCACAAAAAGCAAAGGCGCUUUUGAAACGAUCAAGCCUACGAUGUUGUUUCAGAAAGUAAAAAAGUUAGCGGUUACCGUCCAAGCAGUUUCGAGAUCGAGAAUUAUUUGUUCAAUGUUAAAGAUCUACCUACCCCCAUUUACCAGAUAACAUGAGCAUCAAAUAGCCUCAUUUCCAGGUCGUGUUCUUCCGUCCCCUUUAGCGUUUAGCGUCGUCGAGCAGUGGUGGUAAUGGCACGACAACGGCGAUGACAAAAGGUUGAAGAUGUUAAGUUCCAGACGAUGGGGGAAGAAAAAGGGACCCGAGGAAAGAGUAUAAGCAAGUGGGCACACCACUCACCACUGGUCUUACGUGAGGAGAGGCGGGAAAAGACGAAAAAGGGAGGACCGUGGAUGAAGGUAGUAACAAUCUCCUUGACCAUGAAUUUAGAGCCAUUUUUACGGCAUACGGGAUCAGGACCGACAAUGGCCAUCAUGCUGGUAACGAGAAGUGUGGACCGAGCGGGCAGCGACUUGGAACUGGCGAAGAACACAAUUCACGAAAAGCUUUGAGCUUCGAGCUUCUUUCCAAUCCAUUGAAAGUGGCACAAAAUCACCACUUCGUCUUAUUCUGCUUACCCUGAAGCAUUCAAAGAAAGUACGUGGAGCGAAAGAACGACUGACUAAGAAGGGCCUGAGUCCUUACGCAGGCUCAUCUGACCUUGCAUUAAUGUAUUACUAUCACGACGCAUGACGAGCUUACGGCUAACCCCGACCACCCCACCCCGACUGAUCGUUUCACAUGGAGUCCAAGUCACAUGAAGUUCAACUUUGUGGUCUACACGAUCAAGUUCCAUGAAGGGGACAAGUAAGCAAAAGGGUGCCAACAGCUCGAUCUUCAGUGUUGUUUCCUUCUCAAUUCCCUCUUUUUAUAUCCAAUCCUGAGAAGCGGAAGAGGCGGAUUGUUCCUCCUCGGAGUUUGAACGCCCCCACAACUUCGACUAAGAGGAGAGGAUCAAAUACUUUCACGAGUCCAUACGAAAAAUAUGGGUCGAGACAAUCACAAAAAACACGAUCCAACCCAAAGAAUACACACAUCUUGAGGUUACCCGCGCGAUUGAGAAAACACGACCAAAGGGAACAGAAGAGGUCCUUGGGCCACUUCCGUGUCAAAUUUAGGUCAUCAUCAGCUUUUUGUCCCAUCUCCUCUUUUGCGUCUAAUCAAUGACUUGCUAUACAUCAAGAAAAAAUAUGUUUGUUAGGUGGCAAGGUAUUGGCUCGGUUUUUUUCUCAAUUCGAACAAGAGGUCGAGGAGGCUGGCCCGGCAGACUGACGAACGAAUGAAUGAACUAACGAACGAGCGAAGGAGCCCUCUCCCAUCCAACUAACCAUCUUGAUCUUACUCUUGUCCCAUUUUCAGAACUCGUGGUAAGCCAUACUCGAAAGAAUGAUUGGGGACGGACCUAGGCUCGAGGGCUACUUCGCUUCUCUUGUGAACGUGUCGUUUAUCACAAUCUAUGUAGUCAUUGAGCUGACGAGGAAAAUGGCUCGAAUUCAAGAGCCUCGUGGCCAGAUCAGUUUCGAUCCCUAACCAACUGGUCCCGUCGCAAACCUCUGCUAGAAUAAAACAAACCCUAGAUCCAGGCACGGAAACCCCAUGGACAUAUAUAGAUAGCAUUGUGGAGUUAACGCGUAUUGUCGUCCCAUAAUGUCGAGAAGAUGAUGUUGCUCGAAUGAAGCUAUGUAACGUGUUUUCAUGAUCUCAAACAAACUGUGAAUUGAUAAAUUGAACUAUUGAUUAGGGAACCCUCGUACAUGGCAGAGAAUAAACCUGGGAUACCCAGUUGGCAAAAUAUACUUUAAAAUAGAUUAGGUAACCAAGGGUUCAGGGAAAAGUGCUAUUUGCUCACACAAAGUGGAAUAUUUGAGCAAAUGUUUUCCCAAUAUUUUGCGCUGAAUUCAACGGCUUGAAAAAUCCAUGGAAAAGUUAAAAUAUGUAAUUUUCGUCACCGUUAAAAACGUU